rnacentral:rRNA from 1 species
GACGUAGGGCGCGAGCGUUGUCCGGAAUUAUUGGGCGUAAAGAGCUCGUAGGCGGUUUGUCGCGUCUGCUGUGAAAACCUAAGGCUCAACCUUGGGCUUGCAGUGGGUACGGGCAGACUAGAGUGCGGUAGGGGUGACUGGAAUUCCUGGUGUAGCGGUGGAAUGCGCAGAUAUCAGGAGGAACACCGAUGGCGAAGGCAGGUCACUGGGCCGCAACUGACGCUGAGGAGCGAAAGCAUGGGGAGCGAAC